AUUGAACGCUGGCGGCAUGCCUAACACAUGCAAGUCGAGCGGAGCGGCGGACGGGUGAGUAAUGUCUCGGAACGUGCCUGGUAGUGGUGGAUAACGACGCGAAACGGGCGCUAAUACCGCAUACUAUUAGCUGAGCCGAGGUCGUAUUAGCUAGUUGGUGGGGUAAAGGCCUACCAAGGCGACGAUCCGUAACUGGUCUGAGAGGAUGAUCAGUCACACUGGAACUGAGACACGGUCCAGACUCCUACGGGAGGCAGCAGUGGGGAAUAUUGGACAAUGGGCGAAAGCCUGAUCCAGCCAUGCCGCGUGUGUGAAGAAGGUCUUCGGAUUGUAAAGCACUUUAAGUUGGGAGGCGUUACCAACAGAAUAAGCACCGGCUAACUUCGUGCCAGCAGCCGCGGUAAUUC
rnacentral:rRNA from 1 species